GUGACUCUUCUUAUUUUUGUGUAGUGUCAGCUAAUCUUUUUUUAUGUUGCUUUAAAUGUGCUAAAUCUGUAUGUGGUAAAUUACUUUUUCCUUUUAUUUGCAAGUACCUAUGUGCUAUUUUGUUUUAAUGCGCUGUAACAUGUAUGUGAUAAUUUGUGAUUUGUUUCUUAUCUACUUAGAGCCAGAUUCUUUAUUUGCUUUAAUGUGCUUUAACAUAUUUGCAUUUUAUUACAGCUGUUUUACUUAUGUUGAGCUUAUUUACAUGUGUUUGUCGGAAAAUAGCUUUAAGCUAGUGUUAUAUGUUUAUACUUAUCCGACGUUAUCAUAGUCACCGAGUUACAGUGUGCGCGAGACCUAGUCAAAGAACCUAUUAUCUUUAUCACCUCCAUACACUUGAAGCAACACACAAUCUAAAUGAUAUUUUAUGUUUUCUCAUUUUAUACCUGAAAAAGUAUGCUUGUCCGCGGACACACAGAAUGAAAAAUGCACUUGUCUGCCGGCAAAAAAUCACGAGUCGGAGAAGUUGGACAUAGGAAUCCCACAUCCCUGCAAGGAUGGGUAGAUCAAAGAACUUCGAGCAUCAACAGUCCACAAAAAGCACAGACGAACAGCCGUUUUCAUUUGGUUAGAUGUUUAUCCAUUCUAAGUUUGUAUUUAUCCAGCACUGUUUCCUAUACCAGUUAGGAAUUAUCCCCAAAUUUAAACCUACCUCAUAACCAAUACAAUUUUUAAGCUAUAAAAAUCAAUUUCAAACUUUGAUACUGUUAAACAUUGUCAAAGAGAUAUUUAUGGAACUAAUACAUUUAAUAAGUAAGGUCUUACUGCAAUUUCUGGUACUUUGAAACAGUCAGAAACAUAAAACAUGUUCAUUUUGAAGACUUUUUUGAGUGCAUUUUAAUGAAUUCCAGCCACAUAAUGUGACAUUUCGAUUGAAAUAUUUAGUACACAAAACAUGUUAUCAAUACAGGAUAUUAUGACUAUCAAAAGUUUUACGCUAACAUUGCAUACUCACAUAAAGACAUGAAAAAAGACAAGGAAAUUAACUACAUACAUCGUCUUUCUGUCAGCCAUGUUGGCACUGAGUUAGGGUCGCUGAACAGAGUUAAGAUUAUCCGGGUACAUGGCGUGUGAAAAGAUAACGUUAGUGGUCUUGUUGGAAAAUAUCAGGGACAUAAAUAGAUACACUUUUCCUGAAGAUAUACAGCAGAGAUAUUGAGAAUAAAAACACCCUUGGAAAUAUCUGUUAAAAUUUUACAACAGUCCGUUAGAAAUGAGGGGUGGUGCAUUCAGGCUUCCAUAAACGAGAAAACUAUAAUACCCUUAUUACACAUAUAUUUGUUUUCGAUUUUAUGUUAUUUGUUAAGACAGUGACUAGGCAUCAGUGACUGAUUCUUGCAACUUAGUGUCACAUACGUAGGGGUUUUAUGACUAUGGACUAUGAAUACCUUAAGUAAUUUUCGUGUUCACGAAUGUGAUGACCCUCUGUUUAAAUCGUCGGCAAGGCGGGAGAAAUUCGUCUGAUAAUAUUUUUUUUCGUGACAAGUAAAAUGUGAAAUAGGUAACUAUAAAAAGCAUGUGGUCAUUCUGAACAGAAUUAUAAGAAACUUAUCUAAAAGCCAUAUCUGUACAUUCUAUAAAUGAAUUAAAACCGUAGAUUAUACACAUUUGUAAAGUUAAACAUCCUAAUCAUGAGAUAAAAUAUUUCGAGCCUGGCAUUAGGACGCAUAAAGACAAGAUUUUUCAAUGUAAAAGAAUAAAUCUCUAUGUGUUACAGAAAUAUCACUUACUAAUAUCUUGUUAUGUUAGGAAAAGGUGCUCCUGUGUGGAAGUCUCACCCACCCACCUGUCGAAAAUCAUUGUGUUAAACUUUCACUGUCCAACCGCUUACCGUGGCCCAGUGGCUAAGGCGUCCGCCUUGGGAUCGGGAGGUCGAAGGUUCGAGCCCCAUGGGGACCGUUCGUCCGAGGAAUGUUUGUCAUGCGACUGGUUCCGAAAAGGCCGGUUCGUGAGCCGCGAGCUAGUUAAAUGAAUGGUUAUCGACUUCUAUCCGCCUGGCAUAGUGGUAGGAGUUGGGAGGUAAUUGGUACGCACUAUAAAGGUGUCUUAUAAGCCAAAUUGGCCGGCCCUUUCAAUAGGGGUGACACUAUAAUAAACAAGACCUUUACCUUUUUAUAGAUGAUCUCGCCUACCUCGGCAAAAUUGUCAGUUUGAGCCCGGACUCGGCCUUGUGAAAUUAUUUUUAAAGAAGCUAUCCAGCAAGUCUGCGAUAGUUUCUGGUUCUUUCCAGUAAGUGUGUUUCUCUACUACAAACAGAUGAUCUCCGACGUUUUACUUAAUUUUAGCUAACCGUUAAAAAUUGACCCCAUUACUUAUCAAAAUUUAACGACUUAUCAGGUCUCAACGACUUUUUGAUCAAAAUUUAAUGUUGAAAUGUUGACAGGAUCAACUCUCAACGUUGAAAAAUGACACAUGGGGUCAAUUUUCAACGGGGUCAAAAUUUAAUGUUACAGGUCGUCAUAUGAGAAACAGCAAAUGAGUCCGAAGCGCAACUAAUGGUCAAAGUCUAACAGUCAUUGGAUUUAAUCGGCAUUUGUGUGAACUUUCCCCAAAAAAUAAUGUAACAUGCAAAAAUCUCAACUUGGUCUCAUUUCGGAAUGUUUAUCAUAUAUAUUGCUACACAGAACAGUUGUGCGGUGCAAUGACCCGGCAACUUAAAUGAACUCGUACAAAACAUGUUUGACACAGUCUUACACAAUUCACUCAACCUUUGUGAUUUAAUCAACGCGUUAUUCCCGAGGCACUGUUCAUGCUCAGUUCACUUAGCACGUGACUUUCGUGACAACAUAUUGUUAUUGUUAUUGUUAUAGCCAGUCCGGGUUUUCAGAGAGGCGAGUCAACAAAAUGGUAUGUAAUUUUUUUAUUCUGUGUUUUCUUUUCUAUUUUCUUUCUAUUGCUGUCGUAUUUCUUUUCUCAUUUCUUCCGUUAAACGUGUAGAUGAUUCAUUUUGUGGUUUUCGCCCAUCUUAACCUGUGAUUAUCAUUCAAAUUCCUGUAAACGCAAGAAACUACUUCUAGAGAAAUAUCUAAUACAACAGUUUGUUUUCUUAACACUGAUUAUAAAGAUUGAUUCCAAAGAAUAUUCAUUAGCUUUAAUGUAUUUUAAAUACUGGGAGUGAAAAGCCAGUCGUCCUCGAGAUUUUUUUCAGCACGCAUUCAUUCCGUAUAGGGAUCGAUGCCAUUAUUAUGCACAAACUAUACAGGUAUUAGAGAUGGUACCUAAAAAAUUCAAAUUCAUCUUUACAGGGUUUUUUCAGAGUGAAAUGAUAGCUAAGUGCACCAAUUUUCUAAAUAUAUUUAUGGUUUUCCUCUUCUGCAUGUCAAAAAUAGAAAUAUUUAAUAUCUAAAAAAUGACUUUCUCAAAAUAUCUGAAGCAAAAUGGACAACUCUUGUACUGACCGUUUUUCAAAGAUUUUAGGACUUCCCCAAUUAUAGUCUAUAUCAAAAGCUCCCACAGCUAAAUAAAUUCAAUAGAGUAUAAAGUAAGUUUACACUACUUUCAACAUUUUGAAAGAGCCUAUACUGAAUUUCCUUUUGUCUUUUAAUAAAGUUAAAUUCCAAGACUAGCCAAGAGUCUAAAACGCAUGAAAAAAUUCUGAGUGAAAGAGAAUGACAUGCUCUUUAUUAUAAGCUUACCAAAACCAUACCAAAAAUGUACCUUAAAGAAGUUAUUAAAGAUUUUAUAUUGUAAACAAACCCCUACACCAUUUUACCCAUCAAUAUUUCCCACUCAUGAAUGCACUCAAUCCAGGUGAUAUAAUUGUUGAUAUAUUUGUAAAUGAGAGGCCCCAACAAAAUCUUUUUUCAAGUUGUGUAAACAGUUUAAGUUGUAAAUUAACGUUGAUAUCUGAAGUUACCCGGUUCCUUUGUUUUCAACAUAAUUAAAACACCGUUUAGUUUGAUUAGGGUAGUUGACUUGUAACGAAAAUCAUCAAAUAGUGUAAUCUCUAUAUGCUUUUUCACCAUUUAUUCGUUUUUCAAGGAAAGCAAGUGAUCGUGCUAGUUCCCACCAGAGAAUGUUUAAAUUGAGAAUUGCUUAAAAUACAUUACAUAGAGUCUUUACCUAUCAGCUACCUUAAAAUGUAGUAAUUACAACCACUACCUUAAAGCAUUGUAAUUAUAUUUGAUGACAAUGAAUUUUUGUGUUACCAAUUUAACUUUUUUUGUUAUUUCUCAUUGUUGGAUAUAUACAUUUUACAUUUUGAUAUAUAAAUGUUGUGUAAACAAAUGUAUCACCAUUGAGAACAAUAAAUAAAUAAUUUUGGCUAAAAGAUCAAAACUUAAUAACGUUUCUUAAUGUCGUUAAUUUUCUUCAAAGGAAUUUAUGCAUUAUUUUAUAUCAUCUUCAUGCAUUACUAAACUUUCUAUCUGGGCCUCACUACAAUUUACAAAAUAACUGUCUGUGUAAGUCAUGAGAAAAGCGUGCAUAUUGUAUAUUGAAUACAAAGGGGUUUAAACAAAUGUAGGUCAUAUUUUGUCUGCCUGAUAAGUUGUUUGAAAAAGGACCUAUCUGAUUUUUCUUUCACUUUUGACCAAUGUUUAAUGUUGGCUUCAGUUUAUUGGUCAAUUAAGAGUUGUCCCCCUUUGAUUUAUUUGGGUAGGUACCAUCUCUACAGGUAUGAUGGAAUUUUCACCUGUACUUUUUGCUAUUGCCUGAAGUGAACGAUUGCUAUAGAAACAAUCAAAUUAUGUAUUGUGCACGUAUUUUUUACUGGGAACAUGUUUUAUAAGUCUUAUUUAUAUGACUGUGACAACAACUUGGCAUCCAUGAAAACUUGUGCAAAAAGGGACGCAUGGCGUGGCUUACAACAGACUUCCGCUCUACUAUUUAAAUUGAGAAUUAAUUUGAUAAUAUUGAUUUAAAAUAAAGUUAUAUACUGUUCUAUUACACCAUAUGUUGUCAAACCAUUAUCUACAUCUACGGAGAUACUCCGAACAAUCAAUUUCUGAUCAUAACUGGGAGGUCGGGGCAGUUGUUAAAAAACAUGUUGCAAUGUUACAUGAUACAUGAUAUUCAUGUUGUUAAAAGAGUAAGAGCAGUAAUAUAUACAGCUUGUUAAAAAUAAAAACAGGAUGAUGACAUUAGUACAAUACAAGUCUAGGUCAGAUGUGAAGCACUGAAGGUUCACACUGUCCUUGAUAUUAUAAGGUAAGGCGUUCCAGUAUCUGAUUGUGCGGGGAAAGAAGGAGUUCAUAUGAUAUUGUGUUCCUGAAGAUGGAAUGAUAAAGUUUAAAUUUCUAGAGAUUGUCAGGUGGUUAUGAUCUAAAGAGACGAGGUCGUGUGAUAUUUUAUACAACAUAAUUAAAGAUGCAUGUAUUCUCCUUUGUUCUAAUGUCUGCCAUUUAAGAGUUUCAAGCAUUGAUGUUACGCUGCUUUGGUAUGAGUAGUCAUUCAUAACAUAUCUGGCUGCGGCUCUUUGUACCUUUUCUAUCUCAUAUGUUACGUUUUUCUGCCAUGGAUGCCAUAUGGUGUUACAGUAUUCUAAUUGUGGCCGGUUGUUUUGUAGGCAGUUUCUUAAAUAUUACGGUUAUUACAUUGUACAUUUCUUUUUAUAAAUCUGAGGGUAUUACUAGCUUUUGAAGAUGUAAAUUCAAUAUGUUUUUCCAACAAAUAGACAAAUAUCGUUAAUUGGUUUAUAUUAAGGCCAACUUUUAACGGUAGUCAUAUCCUGGAAUACAGAUUCCGGGUCUUUCUAUCGAUUGCAAAGUAUCAUACAAGUAUAAACAAAUAUUUUAAAACUGCCUUCAUAGCUUUAACUGCAAGUAAGACAUUUACUUUUAACAAAUCAUAUUUUAUUUUUUGCAGUUUUCCAGUUGCUAUGGUGGCAUUAUUGCAUAGAUAAGAGACCAUCCAUAAUUCAGUCACAAAUCGACUGACGUGGUUUCAGAUUUGGAGCAGGAAGGGUGACCGUGUGUACAUACAGAUCAUGGACUAAGGUAUUGUCAGAUCUGGAGUAUAAAUGGUGUGUAUGUUUUCAUAUUUUCUUUGUCUGGAAUAUCUAAGGUACCCCUAGAAUUAAUAUAGGUUUCUGUUUUUACACAUAAGUUUCAGUUUUUUUCCUAAAUACUAAAAUGGGUAGCCACGGAAACAUACGUCUAGGCAAUGAAAUAAAUGGAUGGCAGCUGUUCAGGUGUAAAAUGUUAUAUAUUUUGGAAAAUACAGGGAGUGUACAUAUAUGUUUACUUUUUAUCCCUCAACGAAAGUCGGAGGGAUAUAGUUUUGGCGUUGUCCUUCCGUCCGUCCGUCCGGAGCCAUAUCUAGGAAAUGGUUGGGACUAUUUAUAUAAAACUUUAUAUACAUGUUUACCACUAUGAUUUUUUGCGGCCAGCCAAGUUUCAGUCAGAUUGCCUAAGUAACACCAGAGUUAUGGCCCUUAAAAGUUUCUAGUGUUAACUAUAUAGGGUACUAUAAAUAUGGCAAUUUCUGCAUCUUAACUUUUGAUAAAUUUGACCUAGAACUAUGAAACUUAAACAGAAUUUAGAUCACCAUAAUGUGGUUGUGUACACACAAUUUCAUUCUGAUUUAUUCUGUAAAUUAAGAGUUAUUGCCCUUUAAUUGUAUAAAAAUCCACAUAUUUGUACAUAACAAACUUAUCACCAUUUGGCAGAAUUUCAUUAAAUUUCUUUCAUUCUUUUCCAUGAACAUUACAUGGUCACCCCCUUACCUUGAUCACUCCCCCCCCCCCACACACACAAACAAAUCAUUCCUUAUUUUAGAUUUUUUCAAACAAACUUAUGUACAUGUUCCCCACUUUGGGGUUAUGGGGCCCAUCAAGUUUCAGUCAGAUUGCCCAAGUAACACCAGAGUUAUGGCCCUUAGAAGGUUCUAGAGUUGACUAUAUAUUAUAGGGUACUAUAGAUAUGGCAAUUUCUGCAUCAUAACUUUUGAUAUAUUUGGCCUUGAACUAUGAAACUUAAACAGACUUUAGAGCACUAUAAUGUAGUUGUGCACACACAAUUUCGCAUUUCUUUUUUUUCGGAUUUCUUUUGUAACUUCAGAGUUAUUACCCUUUAAUUGUCUUCCAGGCUAAGGAAUAGUCAUGUUAGUAUAAAAAUGCAGCAUUUGAGCCUGACUAGGUCAAAAGGGACUGUUACAAGAAAAUGUUUAUCCUGAUGAUAUUUAAUGUGUAUGUGCUUUAUGUCAAAACGUGAUCAUAUCAUUUUGAUCAAUGGUACUCAGGUGAGCGAUACAGGGCCAUCGUGGCCCUCUUGUUAUUUUCUGUGGCAACAAAUUUGAUAUAUUUGUUUCUCUUUUUACACAUGCCUCCCUGUUUCUAUACAUUUAACAGGGUUACUGUGAACACUUACCACCACAUCUUGGCAAUGGUAUGUAUGGAUGACCGACGUUUAGAUGUUCAAAGUUUUUGCAACGAUUUUGGAGCAUAUAGGAAUGCUGGGGUAUGUGUACUUGAAGAAAAAAAGACGCAGACGGACAGGACAUGGAGAUGCAGACCAAGCAAAAUGUGCGUUUCUCUUUAUGAUGAACAGACAAUGCAAUGGUUUAGUGGAUGGUGCAGCUCUGGUACAUGAUAUUGACUACAAGCACGUGCGUGGAUGUCAUGUUGUAGAUUUCACAGUGGUUAAGUCGGUGCUGCAACUUGAUCCUUUUUCUAAGGAAUGUGCAUUCAACUUAUGGCUAUGGUGAAAGAAAAGCUCGAAGUAUCGGACAAGAAACUCAAAACUAUUCGAUAAGAAACUCAGGCUAUCAGACGAGGAACCCGAACUGUCCGACAAGAAGCAGUUUCCUGUACCAUACACGAAGAAAAAUUUAGUUGAUGGAACUACGGUUGUCGUGGAAUUGCCUUGCUGGUACUAAAAAGAUGCCGAUAACCAGAGGGGCACUGGUAACCAAUCGAUGUCGCUUAUCAGAGGUGUUCUGGGUCCCUUAUGUCAACAUAGUAAUCAACUGUUCUCGACAAGCAGACGACACUUGCUGCUUCUACCAGAUGAAGCCAGUGGCGGAAGAAGGGACCCGAUGCCUGGAAUAACUUUGCAGUAUAAAAUUUUGCACUGUUUGAAUGGUCAAGAUAGAGUGGUUUUAGUGGAAUACAGCCUUUCAUGGACAUAUCGUCUGUAUUUGCCCUGUUCUGCUGAUGGUAGAGAGCUCUUCCACACCUCGUGCACAGAUCAGAAUCCGCGAGGUAGGCGACGAAUUCAUUCAGGUUUAAAACGACAGGAAGGCAGUGUUUUACAUUCAUGACAUUGUUGAAAGACAAAGAAAAAGAAUCGAUUCCAGAACGUGCCGUCCUGUGUUUGUUGUUUUCGGCAGUUGAGGGGUGAGUCUGGUGCAUGCCAGAUACUAUCUAUUGAUUUCAAACACUCUAGUGGGAAAUAUAUGCAGAAGAAAGAACCAAGUAUGAUAAAUCCACGACAGACCUGGCACAAGCAUAUAGUAUGACACAACUACAGCCGCCAUGACAAAAGCAUAGUUAAACAAAUUAGACAUAAGCUAACAUAUAUAUAAUUAUACCCCAACGUACAAAGUAUAUUGGGCUAUGUUGGAGUCACGCAUGUCCAGUCCAUCCGUUCAUUUGUCCACCAUGGCAGCUGGGAUGCUGACAUAAAUUAUAAACCACAUCAAGACGAUGUACAGAGCACUCAACCUAGGUCACAAGGCCCAAGGUCAAGAUUACUCAUGGAGGUCAAAGGUCAAAUAGCUUAGCUUCAUGUCCACUCUAUAUUGUCUAAACGGCUUUGAAAAUAUUUAGCUCGACUGUUUGAAGAAUAAGGAGGAUUACUGUACUUUCCUUGGCGUCUGUGUCACUGUUACCGUUGCAUUGAAAGUUAAAAUUUUAGGACAAGCUUCUCAGUGUCACUAUAUCUUCUUACUACUGCCCUUAUUAACAUCAAACUUCACAUAAGUGUUGGUCUUGGUAAGGGAAAGACAUCUACAUGUAUUAGUUUAGGAACAAGUAUCCUAAAUGUCGAAGUCACUGGCUUAAAUAUUGUGAUAGUGCUGGUUAAAGUUUCAUGAUAAGCUUCUCAAUUUCACAAUAUAACCUCACAUAAGAAUUGAUCUUGGAACGUGGCAGAAAUCUUUUUGUUUAGGGUCAGGUUGCUCAAAGGUCAAGGUUACUGGGUUCAGAUUUUGUAACAGUGUUGGUUAAAGUCUUGUGGCACAUUUCUCAAUUUGACUUAUAUCUCAUAAUGUUUCUUAGAACUGGUAUCCCUCAUGUCCUAUCCUUUUUAGCAAUACCCACACUUCAUCUACGUUCCUCCUGACACCCACCCAAAAAUGCGUUCCGUACAAAAACUUAUAUUUCAUGUUUCCAUCAACUCCCCUACUCCGCUGUCUUCGCCUACCUCCUCCGCCCCAUUUCACCGAACCUUUGCCCUCGUCCCCUCCAUAAAAAGGAUAAAAAAUUCCUUUUCGAUCUCCCACACUUACUUAUAAUAAUAACAAUAUUUUGUUAAACAUUUUCCUUAUAGUCGAGCAGACACAAUUAACUCAGAUCACUAGGCCCACGGUCAAGGUCACACCUAAAAAUCAAAAGUCAUGAUGACAACAUUUUACUUUCCCUUUAUCAAAGUGAGGUCUGGGGGUAUUAAUCGACUUCAGUGAUAGCCUUAGUUGAUCAGGUGUUAGUGGCAUAAAUGUGUAACAUUUGCUUUAUUAGGGGUGGGGGAUAGGAAUGGUCUUCGUCCGUCCGUCUGCCCAUCCGCAACACUUUCGUGUCCAGGCCAUAUCUCCUAAAUGCCUUGAAGGAUUUUCAUGAAACUUGGGUCAAAUUAUCAACUCAUCAAGAUGAUGUGCAGAAUUUAUAAAUCAGUCAUGUCAGUUCAUUGUUAAGGUCACAGCUCAAGGUCAAAGGUUCAAGUUACCCUUUCACUAUCCAUAACAGUGGCGGGGGUUUUAGCUGUCUUUCAGCCUUCCAUUUUGUGUCCGCUUUGUAUCUCCUAAACCCCUUGAAAGAUUUUCAUGAAACUUGGGUCAAAUUAUCAACUCAUCAAGAUGAUGUGCAGAAUUCAUAAAUCAGUCAUUGUUAAGGUCACAGCUCAAGGUCAAAGGUUCAAGUUACGCUUUCACUAUCCAUAACAGUGGCGGGGGUUUUAGCUGUCUUUCAGACUGCCAUGUAAUAAUUGAUUUUAGGACGGGACAUAUUUGUUUGUUUCAGUGUAAGAUCGAUCAAAUCAUUCUAAAUACAUCUCGCGAAAAUGUAAACUCUAGUGUUCAAGCGUGAAAAAUAAUCAAUUUUACUAUAAAUCAAAGAAAUUUUAUAUUAUACAAUUAAAUAUAUGUGUACUAUUAAUCAAAGAAAUUUUAUAUUAUGCAGUUAAAUGUGUGUACUAUAAAUCAAAGAAAUUUUAUAUUAUGCAGUUAAAUGUAUGUGUACUAUAAAUCAAAGAAAUUUUAUAUUAUGCAAUUAAAUAUAUGUGUACUAUAAAUCAAAGAAAUUUUAUAUUAUGCAAUUAAAUAUAUGUGUACUAUAAAUCAAAGAAAUUUUAUAUUAUGCAAUUAAAUAUAUGUGUACUAAAUUGUACACAUUUUACAAGUAUAACAUCUCACCCAACGCGCAACGUUACGCUUAAAAUUAUGGCAAUAUAUAUGUUGGAAAAAGUUAUAUAGUUCUACUAGAUUGAUUUCUUUUACAUUUUAAUAUAAAUAUUUUUUAAUGUUUUUUUUUUCCUAUAAAAACAAUCAGAUUAUAUAUAAUUCAUAUUCUUUCGCGUUAAAUUGAUGUUGCGUGCAAGUGAAAACUGUAUUUGGAUUUCUUACUUCUGAAACAGUGGGUUUAUCAGGGUAUGUAUAAUCUAUCGUUUUAUUUCAACAAUAUCUGAAAACUUGGAAAGAAAUUCAAUAAAACUAUAAAAUGUAGCGAUAAAAUCAUAGCUCUUUUAUUUAUUCAAACACACUUUCUACUGCACUUUGUCUGGUUGGUAUUAAUGUAGCUUUUAAAAGUAACUUUAGCCUCAUUUCUUCUGACUUCUACACUGUUUGGUAUAACUCUUAAUCGACACCCAACUGAAUGCACUAACAUUAACUCUUGCGGCUAAAAUUACUUUUAAAGCAAUUCUGUCUAUUAUCAGGAACAAAGUGUUAAACUGGUAAAUCUUUAGGAACGAUGGGUAGAAAGAUUAGCUGAUCAAAUAUUUAGUAGAAUUGUUGGCAAAGUUUUUGGUUUUUAGUCAUCGCUUUAAAUAAUUACUGGGAUACAACGUUAGAUUAUAACAUGAUAAACUCAUUGUUUCAAACGGAGAGAAAUCCAAAUAUGAUUUUUCACUAGUACGGAACAACACUUGAACGCAAAAGGAUAUGAACUGUAUGUAAGGACUGGAAAUUUGCUUCAAAUAGAAAAAAAGAUGUUUAAUACUGCUUACAAAAACACUAAAAUAAUACACGCCAAACUAUUAAAAUCUAAAAGAAACAUAACUUUUUCCAACAGCAUUUUGACGUCAUGAAAUAUAGCGUGACGUUACGCAUGGCGCAGGUCUCAGCGCGGUUGAAUUAGAUAACAUGAGAUAAAUCUAUUUUAACUCUGCAAGAUAAUAAAGCAGUACAAAAUAAGCGAUGAGUUUUUCAAAUAGUUCAAAAAUAAGAAUUAAAAUGAACAUGCAAUACAUAUAUAAAUCUGGUAUAAUAAUAAUAAUAAUAAUAGAUAAGUUUUUCAAUUAAUUAAACAUUAAGAAUAAAAAUGAACGUGCAAUACAUAUAUAAAUCUGGUAUAAUAAUAAUAAUAAUAAUAAUAUCAUCAAUAAUAAUAAUAAUAAUGAAUCAACUUACACAUAAUGCUGAAUUAACUUUCACUCUGGAACACCAGUUUUCAGUUUAUUCGGUGAAAGAAAUUUUGAUCUUAUACGGAAACCAACACAUGCCCCAUUUCUAUAUAUUUUUACAGCAAUAGUAGGUAACAAACAUCAAUAUUUUGAGGAGAUACGGCUUAAAAAUAAGGUUACACAACCUAGGACUGAAAUCAUUUUAACUGUUGUUAGAUAUUUUUUGUUUUGUGUUCCCAAGAUAUUCCCGUGAAGAAAUUUAACUUCACAUUAUUAUUCCUCAAGACCAGAUGACAUGUUGAACACAUCACCUAUGCCUGAUGGUCAAAGGCCAAAGGUCACAAUUCAAGGUCAAAGGUCAGAUAUUUGGGUUUUGCUCCAUAACUUCUGUGCCUAGAAGGGUUUUAUUACUUAAUGGAUUUGAUUCAGAUUUAAAACAGUUGUUCAAUAUCAUCACCCAUAUCAUAUGACACAAGGUCGAUAACUCUUGCACCAAUAUUUCAUAAAUUAUGCCCCCCAUUUUUACUUAGAAUUUAAGGUUAAAGUUUUUAACACUCACUCUCAGUUAUUAUUAAAUGGAUUUGAUUCAAACUUAAAAUAGAUGUUCCACCUUAUCAACCACAUCAUGUGACACAAGGUGCAUAACUCUGACACCAAUUUUUCAUGAAUUAUGUCCCCUUUUACUUAGAAUUUAAGGUUAAUUUUGAUGAAUUUCCACUAUAUCUCAUAUAUAUAACUUCUGUGCCUGGAAGGGUUUUAUUGCUUAAUGGAUUUGAUUCAAACUUAAAAUAGUUGUUCCACAUCAUCACCCACAUCAUAUGACACAAGGUGCAUAACUCUUGCACCAACAUUUACUGAAUUAUGCCCCCUUUUUGGUUAGAAUUAUACUUAUAUAGUGUUUUUAUACACUUUAUCUGUACCUCUCUUAUAAUUUGAUAUUUUUUAACACAGACUCAGGCUACUGUGCAAUUUUCAUCCACCAUUGGAGUCAAAUCAAACACUUCAGUGACAAUUCUUGACAGAUAUAAAUAUUUUGGUACACAGGUGUAACAUCAUAAAAUACAGGUCAAGUUCGAUUUAAGUUGCACCUUCUUUUGGCCAUGUCUUUCUUAUGAUUGCCAUUCUUCUGUGACAAGACCGUAUUGUGAUUUUUUGUACAUGUAUUAAAUUUUAGAAAUAUUCUUCAGAUUGAAUAUUUUCAUUAUGAUUAUACUUUACAAUGUCAU